GCGAGCCACCCGCUGA
rnacentral:rRNA from 1 species